rnacentral:rRNA from 1 species
CACGUAGGGUGCGAGCGUUGUCCGGAAUUAUUGGGCGUAAAGAGCUCGUAGGCGGUGUGUCGCGUCGGCCGUGAAAACCUGGGGCUUAACUCUGGGCGUGCGGUCGAUACGGGCAUCACUGGAGUUCGGCAGGGGAGACUGGAAUUCCUGGUGUAGCGGUGAAAUGCGCAGAUACCAGGAGGAACACCGGUGGCGAAGGCGGGUCUCUGGCCCGAUACUGACGCUGAGGCACGAAAGCGUGGGGAGCAAACAGG